GGAAAAUCUAUAUAAAGAAAGAGAAGGACUCAUUAAGUACGGCAUGCCUAUAAAAAUAUUUUUUGGAAAAUCAUUUACAAGGAGUGAGGCAGCUUCAAUAACUUGCCAAGUCUUUCCUGCUAAAGCUCAGAAAUAAUCCGUGUCUAACAUAGUAUAUUAUGUUAAUCAUCUAUGGGUCUGGAGGAAGCAGAGACUAGAGAAAGACAAGCAUUGUUGCAAGAAUAACUUUUGGUAAAGGAUAUAUAUUAUUAUCUAUAAAUAGUGAAACCAUUUACUUUACCAGAAAUGCCUUCAAAAUGCUACAGGAAUUCUCCAUGAGAAUUCACAUUAUUCCAUUUUCCCAGAGAUACAAACAAGAGAAGCUUCCCUUCUGUCACUAAUCAUAGGUAAAGGCAUCAUGCUGUUUGGAAUUCAGUAGAGGUCCUAGCCUCAUUUAUUGCACUGAGGUAAACAGGCAACAUAAUGCUUUGGAGAGAGUGAUAAACUUGAGUCAUGGGACCAAUAUAUAUUAUGCUUUAUAUUACAAGAAGUUCCAAAUGAAUAUAUGACCUAAAUAUUAGAGAUCAUUUCACAAAGCAAUCAGAGGAGAAUGGAAGGAAGUAUCUUAAACAACUAGGCUAGGUGGAAAAUUCUUAGCUAAAUAAUAAAUUCUUAACUAGAGAGGUAGAUAAAGGAUAGAACAGACAAAUUUGAUUGCAAAAAUUGAAAAGCCUUUAAAUAAACAAAAUCAAUACAACUGAAAUAAGAAGAGAAGCAGCUAAUUGGGACAAUUUUCAUAGAAAAUAUUUCUGAUAAUCUCUGAUAUUUAAGGUAAAUAUGAAAUUGAUACAGAUAUAUAAGAACAAAAAUCUUUCUUAAUAUACGGUGGUUCAAAGUAUAUAAAGAGGACAUCUUCAAAAGAAGAAAUGCUAGCUAUCAGUAAGUAUAUGAAAAUAAUUCUCUAAAUUAUUGAUAAGAGAAAGACAAAACUUUCAUUUUCAUUUCACCCUCACAGAGUGGCAAAGAUGACAAAAGAUGACCAAAAAGUUGAAAAGAUGCUGAAGAAAUUUUGGAGGAUUAGUGGAAAUGCAGUACACCCAGAAAGCCAACUCUAUUUUAUUUUAGGAUGUGAAGAAUGCUUCGCCCACUGGAGUUUGGAAGAGAAAUAGAGUCAAGAUAAUGGCUUCAUCCUAUUACUCUGGGUCCAGUCCUAACAAGAGCCUCCUUUUAUGCAUAACCCCCAUUAAAGGCAAAGAGAGUUCUGCACUCAGAACUAAAGGGGAAAACAACACACCAAGAGUGGCCAAUUAUAGGUAAGUAGGCCUUGUAAACAUCACAGGGACAUAUGGUACAGACACAGCUGCUUACUGAGAUAUGGUUUUAAGCAUCCAGGCAAGCAGAGCCAGCCGGAUACCCGAAAGCAGAUUGUACAUGAAUGCGAGUCUUUGGCUCCCCUUACCUGGCUUUGUCAAAGCAAAGGAAGUAGCAACAAGUAAGAGAAAGGAUCAUUCCUUCAUUCAAGAGCUAUCUAUUGAGUGUCUACUCUUUGCAAGGUAUUAUGAGGAAGAUAAUAGGAUUAAAUAAACCAUGCUCUUGCUCAGAAUGACCUUGCAGGUUAUCAAGGAAGGAUGGCUUUGGCAUCUGGGAUCUGGCUGUGCAACUUACUACCAAAGGGCCAUAUUGGAUGAAUCACUUGACCUCCCUAGGGCUCAGUUUCUCAGAUGUAAAAAGAGGUACUUGGACAAGAUGAUCUUUUAUGUCCCUUCAAGUUUGUAAUCUAUGAUCCUGUAACCUGAUUGACUGAAAAAUGGGCAAAGGAGAAGAAAUAAUCAAAGAGGACUCCAUGGUGAUUUGGAAAAAAAUGGAAACAGUGUUAGGGAAGAGAGGAGAAGCCCAUUUGGAGGUGGCAGAUGAUUGGUUUUGGACGAGGUGGGUUUGUGGUGCCAGUGGGACAUGCUGCUAAGACUUUCUGGAGAUAAAGAUUUAGGAACUAUAUAAUUAUAGGGAAGGGUUGAAGUCAAGUUAGUUGAUGAGCUUGUUAGUUGAUGAGCUUGCCAAGGGAGAGAUAUAGGAGAGAAGGAAGAAGGUGGAGCCUUGGAAAAAAUGGCUACAUCUCAAGGGCUAUUUUCUCUCAAGUCUUCCAUAUUGUACCUUGCUAAUCACACAUUGCUUUUUAUUCUGCUUUUGAUCUGGUUUACAUAAAUCGUUACAACAUCUUUCAGUUAUAUAAUUCCCGAGAGGCAGUGAAGUUCAGUAGAUAAGAAAACUGGCCCUACAGCCUGGAAGAUCUCAGUUAAAGUUCCUCCUCUGACCCUUAGCAAGGCACUUGACCUCAGUGUCCCAGAAAACUUUCUUAGAAUAAGUUAUUGUAAGUACCACGUUGCCUUGGUAGAAAGAGAAUUCUCAUGUGGGAAGCUGAUAGACCAGUGAAAUCACAGGUCCAAGUCCUAACUUUAUCCUGGUAAGAACAAAAAAUGUCUACAUUUUUCAGAUGAAAGAAAUCUAGGCACAGAGAGUUAAUAAUUGGCCAGGACUUUCCCAACCUUUGUUUCUUCAUCAGUAAAAUGGUAAUAAUGCCUGCUGUACCUAUCUUUUAGUUCUUGCAAGUUGAGAUAAUGGAUGUGCAAGGGCUUUGCAAAGUAUGAAGUACUAUUCAAAUGGAAAACAUUCUAAUGUGACCUCUAACUUGGCUAAGUCAUUUGGGUAAUUUUGACUAGAGUUAGUUCUGCCUGAGUAACUCAGAUUGUGGCUAUUAUGAAGUUCUGACUUUACUAGCAUAUAAUGGAACUUCCCUCCAGCCCUCUCUGCCGCCCCCCAACCCUCCCACCUCCCAGUUCUAUCCAACUGUACAACAUUGAACAAGGGAUGAAAACUCCUUUGGCAAUCAUCAUGUACCCUCGAGCAAGGGAUCUGAUUAUUCUUAUCUUGGCAUUUGUAACUGCAAAUACUAUAAUUGGUCAUAAAAUUUCCAAACCUUUUAAAAAUCCACUACUUGACUCUAGAGUCUCUAGUUGUAAUGUUUCACUGGCUAGCAUCAUGCUGUGCGAAGAAGCAUUGCUUUUUAUUUGUGUCUUAAUUGACCCACCAUUAACUUCACAAAUGCAUCCUCCCCCUAAACUUGUCCCAAUAGAUAGCAUAUAAAAAGAACCCAUUGGUUUUUACCAUACUCAUCAUAAUUUUAAUGCUUUACUCAAAUUCCCGUUAGCAAUUCCUUUCCUAGUUUGUUUUUUCUUCUUUUCAAAAGUGGAAUUUAUCAGGCUAUCGAUUUAUGAUCAUUUCUGUUCUCCCAGACUUUCCUCCAUGUUCAUUUCAUUUUUCUUGAGGGACUUGAGAGAAAAUAAUCAUUCCAAUAAUAAAGGGUGUUUUUUUUUUCCUUCUAAGACUCUUACCUUCUGUCUUAGGAUCAAUACUGUGUGUGGUUCCAAACUAGAAGAAUGGCAAGGAUUAGGAAAGGGGAGUUAAAUGACUUGCCCAGAGUCACACAGCCAGAAGUGUCUGAGGAUCAAUUUGAAUUCAGUACCUCCUAUGUCUAAAUCCACUGAGUCAUCUAGCUGCCUUACCCCAACCAGUAAAAGUUUGAUAGCUAACACUAUUCCUUACACUGGGAGCAUAAGAUGUGUGUAUUCAGGAGGUGUGGAGAGUGUUUAAAGGGAGGGCAAAUCAUGGACUAAGAAAGAAUUUAAAGGUGUUGAGUUCUAAUCCCCAUUCUGUGCUGGUGUUCCCAGAUGCAGACAGAGGCAAAUAUACCUUCUUCAAAGUCCACUGGGGAUUUAAAGUACUAAAAAAAAAAGUCUAAGGAAAAAAGUUAAAUAAUAAA